rnacentral:rRNA from 1 species
GAUAAACGCUGGCGGCGCACAUAAGACAUGCAAGUCGAACGAACUUAAUAUCUUGCUUGCAAGAUAAGCGGUUAGUGGCGGACUGGUGAGUAACACGUAAGAAAUCUGCCUAUCAGAGGGGAAUAACAGUGAGAAAUCACUGCUAAUACCGCAUAUGCCAUAGGAGUCGCAUGACUCUAGUGGGAAAGGAGCAAUCCGCUGAUAGAUGAGCUUGCGUCUGAUUAGCUAGUUGGUGGGGUAACGGCCUACCAAGGCAACGAUCAGUAGCCGGACUGAGAGGUUGAACGGCCACAUUGGGACUGAGAUACGGCCCAG